AGUCAAGUAAUUAAGUGCAUGUGGUGGAUGCCUUGGCAGUCAGAGGCGAUGAAAGACGUGAUAGCCUGCGAAAAGCUCCGGGGAGGCGGCAAAUAUCCUUUGAUCCGGAGAUGUCUGAAUGGGGGAACCCACCUACUUUAAGGUAGGUAUUGCAACAUGAAUACAUAGUGUUGCAAGGCGAACGAGGGGAAGUGAAACAUCUCAGUACCCUUAGGAAAAGAAAUCAAUUGAGAUUCCCUCAGUAGCGGCGAGCGAACGGGGAUCAGCCCAUUAAGUUAUGUGUGUUUUAGUGGAACGCUCUGGGAAGUGCGAACGUAGAGGGUGAUAUUCCCGUACACGAAAGGGCACACAUAAUGAUGACGAGUAGGGCGAGGCACGUGAAACCUUGUCUGAAUAUGGGGGGACCAUCCUCCAAGGCUAAAUACUCCUGACUGACCGAUAGUGAACCAGUACCGUGAGGGAAAGGCGAAAAGAACCCCUGUGAGGGGAGUGAAAUAGAUCCUGAAACCGCAUGCAUACAAGCAGUGGGAGCACCUUCGUGGUGUGACUGCGUACCUUUUGUAUAAUGGGUCAGCGACUUAUAUUCAGUAGCGAGGUUAACCGUAUAGGGGAGCCGUAGAGAAAUCGAGUCUUAAUAGGGCGUUUAGUUGCUGGGUAUAGACCCGAAACCAGGCGAUCUAUCCAUGAGCAGGUUGAAGGUUGGGUAACACUAACUGGAGGACCGAACCCACUGUCGUUGAAAAGCCAGGGGAUGACUUGUGGAUAGGGGUGAAAGGCUAAUCAAGCCUGGUGAUAGCUGGUUCUCCCCGAAAGCUAUUUAGGUAGCGCCUCGGACGAAUACCAUAGGGGGGGGGGUAGAGCACUGUUUCGGCUAGGGGGGGGGGUCAUCCCGACUUACCAAACCGAUGCAAACUCCGAAUACCUAUGAGUACUAUCCGGGAGACAGACUGCGGGUGCUAACGUCCGUAGUCAAGAGGAAAACAAUCCAGACCGCCAGCUAAGGCCCCAAAAUCAUAGUUAAGUGGGAAACGAUGUGGGAAGGCAUAGACAGCUAGGAGGUUGGCUUAGAAGCAGCCACCCUUUAAAGAAAGCGUAAUAGCUCACUAGUCGAGUCGGCCUGCGCGGAAGAUGUAACGGGGCUAAAACUAUGUGCCGAAGCUGCGGAUGUAUACUUUGUAUACGUGGUAGGGGAGCGUUCUGUAAGCCGAUGAAGGUGUGUUGAGAAGCAUGCUGGAGGUAUCAGAAGUGCGAAUGCUGACGUGAGUAACGACAAAACGGGUGAAAAACCCGUUCGCCGAAAGACCAAGGGUUCCAGUCCAACGUUAAUCGGGGCUGGGUGAGUCGACCCCUAAGGCGAGGCCGAAAGGCGUAGUCGAUGGGAAAAUGGUUAAUAUUCCAUUACUUCUGUGUAAUGCGAUGAGAGGACGGAGAAGGCUAAAUCAGCCUGGCGUUGGUUGUCCAGGUGAAAGGAUGUAGGCAUGUAUCUUAGGCAAAUCCGGGGUACUCUAUGCUGAGAUCUGAUAGCAAGCUGUACUUGUACAGCGAAGUGGUUGAUGCCAUGCUUCCAGGAAAAGUCUCUAAGCUUCAGUUACACAGGAAUCGUACCCGAAACCGACACAGGUGGUCAGGUCGAGUAGACCAAGGCGCUUGAGAGAACUCUGCUGAAGGAACUAGGCAAAAUGGUACCGUAACUUCGGGAGAAGGUACGCUGUUGUUGGUGAUGGAACUCGCUUCCUGAGCUGACGACAGCCGCAGAAACCAGGCCGCUGCAACUGUUUAUUAAAAACAUAGCACUCUGCAAACACGAAAGUGGACGUAUAGGGUGUGAUGCCUGCCCGGUGCUGGAAGGUUAAUUGAUGGGGUUAGCGUAAGCGAAGCUCUUGAUCGAAGCCCCAGUAAACGGCGGCCGUAACUAUAACGGUCCUAAGGUAGCGAAAUUCCUUGUCGGGUAAGUUCCGACCUGCACGAAUGGCAUAAUGAUGGCGGCGCUGUCUCCAGCAGAGGCUCAGUGAAAUCGAAAUCGCUGUGAAGAUGCAGUGUACCCGCGGCUAGACGGAAAGACCCCGUGAACCUUUACUGCAGCUUGACACUGAACUUUGACCUUACUUGUGUAGGAUAGGUGGGAGGCUUUGAAGCUGGAACGCUAGUUCCAGUGGAGCCGUCCUUGAAAUACCACCCUGGUAAUGUUGAGGUUCUAACUCUGUCCCGUGAUCCGGGACGAGGACCGUGUCUGGUGGGUAGUUUGACUGGGGCGGUCUCCUCCUAAAGAGUAACGGAGGAGUACGAAGGUGCGCUCAGCGUGGUCGGAAAUCACGCGUAGAGUAUAAAGGCAAAAGCGCGCUUAACUGCGAGACCCACAAGUCGAGCAGGUACGAAAGUAGGUCUUAGUGAUCCGGUGGUUCUGUAUGGAAGGGCCAUCGCUCAACGGAUAAAAGGUACUCUGGGGAUAACAGGCUGAUACCGCCCAAGAGUUCAUAUCGACGGCGGUGUUUGGCACCUCGAUGUCGGCUCAUCUCAUCCUGGGGCUGAAGCAGGUCCCAAGGGUAUGGCUGUUCGCCAUUUAAAGAGGUACGCGAGCUGGGUUUAGAACGUCGUGAGACAGUUCGGUCCCUAUCUACCGUGGGCGCUGGAAAUUUGAGAGGAUCUGCUCCUAGUACGAGAGGACCAGAGUGGACGAACCUCUGGUGUACCGGUUGUGACGCCAGUCGCAUCGCCGGGUAGCUAUGUUCGGAAGGGAUAACCGCUGAAAGCAUCUAAGCGGGAAGCCUACCUCAAGAUAAGAUUUCCCUAGGACUUUAUGUCCUCUAAAGAGCCGUUCGAGACUAGGACGUUGAUAGGUUGGAUGUGGAAGCAUAGUGAUAUGUGAAGCUGACCAAUACUAAUUGCUCGUGAGGCUUGACUAU
rnacentral:rRNA from 1 species